GUUUUUCUGUUUUUUUUUGCUUUCUGU
rnacentral:sRNA from 1 species